rnacentral:rRNA from 1 species
UACAGAGGGUGCAAGCGUUGUUCGGAAUUAUUGGGCGUAAAGGGCGCGUAGGCGGUUCGGCAAGUCUCUAGUGAAAUCUCUGGGCUCAACUCAGAGUCUGCUGGGGAAACUGCCGGGCUUGAGUGUGGGAGAGGAGAGUGGAAUUCCCGGUGUAGCGGUGAAAUGCGUAGAUAUCUGGAGGAACACCGGUGGCGAAGGCGGCAUCCUGGACCAAUUCUGACGCUGAGGAGCGAAAGCCAGGGGAGCAAACGGG